AUUCACUCUAGGUGUGGCGGUAGCACCCGGUUUUCUGUUGAUAUGAUGUGUGUUUGAUGGAAAGGAAAUAAAUCAGUAUCCAGCAAUAGAAGAUUCUAUCUCCAUCAGGAAGCAUAUAACAUAGUUCAUUUGUAAUGGAGCAAAGGUAUUUGAUUAAAUUCUUAGUAGUUACAAUGUGUUGUUAACUACUUCCUCAUUUUAUAAUUAAAUUCCAGCCAAGUUCACAAUGUUUGGUAUUUUUAACUAUUUAAGAAUCAGUAUAUUUUUUGCAGUUGUAUCUUCAUUGUAAAGCUUACUGAUCUUUUUAAAUGGCAGCAAUGAUAUGUAAUAAGAAACAUGGAAUUAGUUAGUUUGUGUUGUUAAAGUAUGUAAUGUAAUGUACUCCUACUUUGAAUUUCAAAACA